AUGUUGUGGUUCCACUUCAAAGUCGAAUAAAUCUUUUGCCUUUUACUAAAGAUUUCCGUGGAGUGGAACACCUGAUGAGUUUAUUCUGAAAGAUAUGUUGUCAGUUCCAGAUAAUUUAU